GAUGAAGAACGCAGCGAAAUGCGAUACUUGGUGUGAAUUGCAGAAUCCCGUGAACCAUCGAGUCUUUGAACGCAAGUUGCGCCCGAAGCCACUAGGCCGAGGGCACGCCUGCCUGGGCGUCACACGCCGUUGCCCCCCCAUCUACUCCUUCGGGAUUGCGGGGGGGCGGAUGAUGGCCUCCCGUGCGCCUAGCCGCGCGGUUGGCAUAAAUACCAAGUCCUCGGCGACGCACGCCACGACAAUCGGUGGUUGCGAAACCUCGGUUGCCCGUCGUGUGCGUUCGUCGCGCAUCGAGGGCUCGAAAAAAUGCUCGGCUCCGGCUGGGCUUUCAACGCGACCCCAGGUCAGGCGGGGUUACCCGCUGAAUUUAAGCAUAUCAAUAAGCGGAAGA
rnacentral:misc_RNA from 1 species